GACGAACGCUGGCGGCGUGCCUAAUACAUGCAAGUUGAGCGCUGAAGGUUGGUACUUGUACCUACUGGAUGAGCAGCGAACGGGUGAGUAACGCGUGGGGAAUCUGCCUUUGAGCGGGGGACAACAUUUGGAAACGAAUGCUAAUACCGCAUAAAAACUUUAAACACAAGUUUUAAGUUUGAAAGAUGCAAUUGCAUCACUCAAAGAUGAUCCCGCGUUGUAUUAGCUAGUUGGUGAGGUAAAGGCUCACCAAGGCGAUGAUACAUAGCCGACCGGAGAGGGUGAUCGGCCACAUUGGGACUGGGACACGGCCCAAACUCCUACGGGAGGCAGCAGUAGGGAAUCUUCGGCAAUGGACGAAAGUCUGACCGAGCAACGCCGCGUGAGUGAAGAAGGUUUUCGGAUCGUAAAACUCUGUUGGUAGGGAAGAACGUUGGUGAGAGUGGAAAGCUCAUCAAGUGACGGUAACUACCCAGAAAGGGACGGCUAACUACGUG
rnacentral:rRNA from 1 species